UACGUAGGGGGCAAGCGUUGUCCGGAUUUAUUGGGCGUAAAGAGCGUGUAGGCGGCCAGACAGGUCCGUUGUGAAAACUCGAGGCUCAACCUCGAGACGCCGAUGGAAACCGUCUGGCUAGAGUCCGGAAGAGGAGAGUGGAAUUCCUGGUGUAGCGGUGAAAUGCGUAGAUAUCAGGAGGAACACCUGCGGUGUAGACGGCUUUCUGGACCAUUGCUGACGCUGAGACACGAAAGCGUGGGUAGCAAACAGG
rnacentral:rRNA from 1 species